UAACCCGGUGCAUCGACCCAGACACCCAGUCCACACCCUCCCACACCCACACGCGUUCUUCCUCCCUCGGGAUCUCCCGCCUCCGGCGAUCCGGCGAGGGAAAUGCCCGCGCAGCCGCCACCGUCCGCUGCCUUUCCCCGCCGCCGGUGGCAGAACCGCUUCAGCCCUACGCUCGUGCGUGAUCGCUGCUACACGCGCUGCUUCCACUCCGCGGGGCUCCGCCGGGCUGCCGUCCCACUCCAGGAUGGCGCCGUCGUGCACCUCUGGCACCCGCCGGCCGCGACUACUGGGGCCAUCCCCCUGCACCCGGUCCUCCUCCUACACGGAUUCGGCGCGAGCGCCACCUGGCAGUGGGCCCCCUUCCUAGCCCCGCUCCUCGCCGCCGGCCUGGCCCCCUACGUCCCGGACCUCAUCUUCUUCGGCGCCUCCUCCUCCCCCGCGGCCGACCGCUCCCCGGCCUAUCAGGCCGCCUGCAUCGCUGCGGCCAUGUCGGCGCUCCCCUCUGCGCCGCAGCGGUACGCCGUCGUCGGCGUUAGCUACGGCGGGUUCGUCGCGUACCACCUCGCCCACGCGUUCCCGGCGGCGGUGGAGCGCCUCGUGCUCGUCGCGGCGGGAGUGUGCCUCGAGGACGCAGACCUGGCAGCGGGGCUCUUCGCUGUCGAGGACAUCGCCGAGGCCGCCAGCCUGCUGCUGCCGCAGCGGCCGGAGGAUCUCAGGAGGCUCGUGGGGCUCACCUUCUGCCGCCCGCCGCGGUUCAUGCCGUCCUGCUUCAUCAGGGACUACAUCAGGGUUAUGUGCACAGACAAUGUGAAAGAGAAGACUGAGCUGUUAUAUGCAUUGAUCAAUGGUAGGAAGCUUUCAGACCUUCCUAAAAUUAGUCAGCAAACCUUGAUAAUCUGGGGAGAGCAUGACCGGGUCUUUCCGUUGGAACUUGGCCUACGGCUGAAAAGGCAUCUGGGAGAUACUUCGGAACUAGUCAUAGUUAAAAAUGCGGGUCAUGCCAUAAACCGCGAAAAGCCAUCAGAGCUUUGCAGACUCAUAAGAAACUACAUCGUUGAUCCCUCAGUCAAAUAUCGGGAUGAUUGCAAGGUACACAACUAUAUAAUCAUUAUAGCAUUUGUAUUAAAUUGAUCGAGUACACAUUGUUGAAACCCUUUAAGCAGUAGAAGGAAGAGCUGCACCUGCCUGAAUUCAAGAGAAAAAUGCCUCUCGUGUUCGCAGGGAUCUUGGAAGAGUGUGAUAAAGAGGUUUGCUGGGUCGAGCCUAAGAAAGGUGGACUCUUCGCGACCGCUGCUAUAGAACGUAAAUAUACUGCCUUCAGCAGUGCACGAGAUUCCAGUUUAUCUGAUUCUCUGAUUGUGACGUGGGAUCAGAUGAAAUUCUGGUGAAGUGUACAUUCACCGUUCUGUAUCAUGUACACUAGCUUUGUUUGAGGAAGGUUGUGCAUGUGUAUAGGAGUAUAUGCAGCUACAUCAAGUAGGACCGGCUGUUAUGGGCCUAUUGUUUCCGGCCCAAUCCAUUAACACAAUUGAUUUUUAUUUUCUUUUGCGUUUUC